rnacentral:rRNA from 1 species
CCUACGGGUGGCAGCAGUGAGGAAUAUUGGUCAAUGGCCGGAAGGCUGAACCAGCCAUGCCGCGUGAAGGUCAGUGCCCUAUGGGCGUUAAACUUCUUUUGUGCGGGAGCAAUAAUGGUCACGUGUGGCCAGACGAGAGUACCGUACGAAUAAGCAUCGGCUAACUCCGUGCCAGCAGCCGCGGUAAUACGGGGGAUGCAAGCGUUAUCCGGAUUUAUUGGGGUAAAAGGGUGCGUAGGCUGUGAGGUAAGUCAGCGGUGAAAUGCCCCCGCUCAACGGGGUGAAGUGCCAUUGAUACUGCCUUGCUGGAAUGCGGAUGCGGUGGGAGGAAUGUGGGGUGUAGCGGUGAAAUGCAUAGAUAUCACAAAGAACACCGAUUGCGAAGGCAUCUCACGAAUCCGCGAUUGACGCUGAUGCACGAAAGCGUGGGUAUCAAACAGGAUUAGAUACCCCUGUAGUC